GAAAAAGCGUACAAGAACUGCUAACUCUUCAUACCAUGCCUAACAACAUGGCUUUUUCA
rnacentral:tRNA from 1 species